UCAGUCAUAAUGCGGUGUAGAUUGUCCACAAACCUCUUCUUAUACACUUAGGAGCCUCCCCACAGAUACAAAGGCACUUGGGAGCUUGGUGGCUUGCUACCAUCUUCAGAAGACAUGGUCAACGGACAACUACAAGAAGAUAAGAAAAUUUCUACAAGUUAGAAUUACAAAGAAAAAAAUGUUGGCGAGGAAAAAAAGAAAGGGCAGUAGCAGGAAAAAAAAGGUAGCAGUAGAAGAAAAUUGGCCGAGCUUGGAGUAGCCUAGCUCGAACAGCCCGCCAGCGCACGUAGCCCAGCUAGCGCCUCCAGCCCGGCACUCAUGUAGCCUAGUCGCACCCCAGCCUGGCCCAUUCCUCCAACUCCUGCACGCAAGGCCUGCCUGCUUGGUGCAGGCCCACGUCGUGCAGUCCAGCGCCUCUCGCCCAACUCCAGCAACGUGGACUGCUGCCCAAUUCAAGCUCGUG
rnacentral:lncRNA from 1 species